rnacentral:tRNA from 1 species
UUGACAGUAGCUCAACUGGUAGAGCAUUGGCUUGUGAUGCCAAAGGUUGCGAGUUCAAGUCUCGUCUGUCGACCCA